AUCCGCAUCGAGGAGCCUUUUACAGAAGUGGCUCCAGGAGCAUCCACAUCUGCCUCUCGGGGCCCACGGGGCCCAGGCCAGCUACAGAAGCACCCUGCUUUCCAUGGGAAAAUGCUGCAAAUGGGGGAGAAAGGAGAGAAGGGUUUCAGACUGCAAAGACCCUUCGACAUCAGCUAGCACCAAGUUCCAUCAUGUAAAUAAACUGAAGGGCUUCAGACCGGGAGUGAAGCCAAGCAGGUGAUAGAAGUGUUUGUAGGAGGAUUUUUUUGACAUAAACAUGAAAUGGAGCGAGUGGUAACGCCAUCCGUCUCCUGCCCAGACCUCCCCACUGUCACUGUCCAGCCUGAAGCCGCCCUGGUGAAGCAGGUGGAGGAGCAGCUCCAGGCCCGGCUCCCCGGCCUCCCUCCCUCAGCUCCAGGGCACUCACGUGCUUGAAACAGCUGACGGGAGCAGCCUUGUAACUGUGAUCCUUCAGGAACUUCCCCCAGUCGAAGCCCAAGACCAGAGCUGCAGAGCAGAGAGGACGAGUCAGACUAGGAGCCUGCGCAGCAGCCACUCCAGGAGCCUGGACCCCAAGGGCCCUGUGGGACCUGCAGAGGUGAUCCCAACAUGCAGGCAAAUUUGGGAAGCAGUGUUGCAGAUGCUGGUCCCAGCUACUGGGAAACAAGGUAAGAUGAGGCCCCUGAGAUGAGGUUCCAGCCUCAAUUCCGCCAUUCUCCUCCUACAGAGCCACACUAGGUAUGUCAUUCUACCUCCUUGGACCUCAGUAUACUUAUCAAUAAAUGUGUGGGUUCAACACCACAUCCAAGAAUCUUUCCAUCUCUAAAGAUUCUAUAAAUAUCAGUAAUUUAGAAAAUUGGCAAGACUUUCUAGGUAGCUGCCUGUGACAUGGAGUCCGAGGAGGCAUGGUCUUCCUGAAGCCACCGUGGCUGGUGAACCUUGGGCCUGUUUCCCAACUUCCUUUGAAAGGAUUUAUAAAAGUGUGGGGUGAAGACCAAGGGUGUCAGACUCCCCCAUAGUUCUUGUUUAAAAUGUACUGAAUACACCAGACUCUGGGGGAUGAUGGUAGGUAAUGGAGCGUAGCUUCAGGAACCUAUAAUUUAAAAAGCUCCACAAAUGGAUUCUACUGUCCUCUGAAGUUUGAGAACAUAAUAAAUACCAGCUGGCCACAAGCAAGGACCUUUUCAAACUUUCCUGGCCCUGGCCUUCAGUCACUUGGUGGUUCCUGUCUCAGCACCAAAGGCACCGGGAAGGAUCCAAGUGAUUGCCUCUCACCUGUAACCUAGCCAAGAUACUGGCUUUCUUGGAGUUGGAGGAGUAGCUCCUGGAGCAGGAGACGCUGCAGAACCUCUUGGUCUUGGAGAAGAAGGCUUCCCUUGUACCCACGAUACCACACAUCUCACAGACAGCUGGGAAGAGAACUUAGCACAUGACUCACCCGAUAUGACCACCUCAAAGCAAACAAAGUGAUGGGCCCUUCAAAACCUGGGGCACUGCAUUAACCAGGUGAGCCCCUGCCCCCACAAAGGCUAAUGGAAUAAGAGGAGGAAUGGGAGGUACUGGUGUGUAUAUCCUGAAUCUACCUGAAUGAAGUGCUGCUGCUUGGCCUCCCUUGGCUACAGAUGUCAACAGAGGGGCUAAUGGAAAUCCAUGAGGACGACUGGGGGAACAGGGGACACUCUGAAGGCACCUGGCUCAGAACCACUGCCAUCCAAGGAGCGAGGAGUCCCAGGGCUGAGCAAAUGCAGCGGGGAGGUCGGCAGUUCCCCUGCUUCCCGAUCCUCAUUUUCUGCUUCACUUGACUCCUCCAGAUAGGAGCUGCUCUCACUGCCCACACUGCUGUUAUAACUCCGGAAACUAUCAUAGCCACCAAACAGCUCCAAGUCGUCAUCUUCCUCUUCCUCCAUUGGUUCUGAAGAUGGGGUCUCCUAAUGGAGGAUGACACAAACCAGGUAGAAAGAAUUAUGAUUGGCUUUAGUGCACGGGGGGAGAAGCUGCAGAUCUGCUAUCAGCCCCCUCACACUUUCGGGAACCUUUCAAAUACCCCUUUUACAAACACCAAGAUCAUUACUUCUAUUUACACAUUUCUCCACCAUGAUGCAAUUCAACAGCUUAACAAGACAGAAAAUAUGUGUUAGGAAUUCACCAGGCUCCUCUGUGGAUUUACAAAUGAUGAUAUUUUAACAUGGUUCAAAUAGAAUACUGUAUAACAAUGUGGGCCAGGUGCGGUGGCUCAUGCCUGUAAUCCUAGCACUUUGGGAGGCCGAGGCUGGCAGAUCACCUGAGGUCAGGAGUUCGAGACCAGCCUGGCCAAGAGGGUGAAACCCUGUCUCUACAAAAAAAUACAAGAAAAAAUUAGCCAGGCGUGGUGGCGGGCACCUGUAGUCCAGCUACUUGGGAGGCUGGGGCAGAGAAUUGCUUGAACCCAGGAGGCAAAGGUUGUAGUGGGCCAAGAUCGUGCCACUGCACUCCAGUCUGCGUGACAGAGCAAGACUCCAUCUCAAAAAAAAAAAAAAAGUGAAAUAUCCUAAGGUACUUCACAAAGACUUUCUGGGGUAGAAGAUAUAUUAGAAAUUAAUUCUUAGCCAGGCACAGUGGCCCACACCUGUAAUCCCAGCACUUUCCGAGGCCAAGGUGGGUGGAUCACGAAGUCAGGAGUUCAAGACCAACCUGGCCAAGAUGGUGAAACCCCGUCUCUACUAAAAAUACAAAAAUUGGCUGGGUGUGGUGGCGGGUGCCUGUAAUCCCAGGUACUUGGGAAGCUGAGGCAGAGAAUUGCUUGAACCCGGGAGGUGGAGGUUGCAGCGAGCUAAGAUCGCGCCACUGCACUCCAGCCUGGUAAUGGAGUGAGAUGCUGUCUCAAAAAGAAAAACAAAAAUUCUUCCCCGUUCAAUAUACAUCAAAAUGAUCUCAACUCAGAAACAAUUUAAGUCACAGAAAAGUUAAUUUGGGACCUAGACUGCUCCAAAGAGGAUGGGAGAGGCAGAUGACACACAGAUAACUGUGGCAUCUUGGUGUGUACUACAGCGCUAGAUUCAGCUCUGAGCCUAACUAGCUAUAGGGCCUUGGGCAAGUCAUUUAACUUCUGUGGGCUUCAACUUUCUCAUCUAUAAAAUAAAAAUAUUUGACUCGUGAGAUGCAAAUGAGAUAAUGUAUAUGAAUCUACCCAGCAUGUAACAGAAAACGUGUGAAGAGCCUGGGUACGGUGGUUCACAUCUGUAAUCCCAGCACUUUGGGAGGCUGAGGCAGGUGGAUUGCUUGAACCCAGGAGUUUGAGACCAGCCUUGGCAACACAGCCACACCCCAUCUCUACAAAAGAAAAAAAAAUUAGCCAGGUGUGGUGGCAUGCGCCUGUAGUCCCAGCUUCUUGGAGCUGAGGUGGAAGGACUGCUUGAGCCUGGGAGGUCAAGGCUGUAGUGAGCCAUAACCAUGCCACUGCAAUCCAGCCUGGGCAAGAGAAUGACAUCCUGUCUCCAAAGAAAAAGAAAAAAAAGCUGGGUGCGGUGGCUCACACCUAUAAUCCCAGCACUUUGGGUGACCGAGGCGGGCGGAUCACUUAAGACCAGGAGUUCAAGACCAUCCUGGCCAACAUGGUGAAAUCCCAUCUCUAGUAAAAAUACAAAAAAUAGCUGGGCAUGAUGGUGGGUGCCUGAAAUCCCAGCUACUCGGGAGGCUGAGGCAGGAGAAUCACUUGAACCCAGGAGUUGGAGGUUGCAGUGAGCCGAGAUUGCACCACUGCCCUCCAGCCUGGGCAACAGAGUGAGACUCCUUCUCAAAAAAAAAAAGCUGGGUGGUGGUGGCAUGCACCUGUGGCUCUAGCUACUCAGAAGGCUGAGGUGGGAAGACAGCUUGAGCCUGGGAGGUCAAGGCUGCACUGAAUCAUGAUCACACCAUUGCACUCCAGCCUGGAUGACAGAGGGAAGACACUGUCUCAAAGGAAAAAAAAGGUGUGAAGAAAGGAGAAAAGUUUGGCCUCUGGUCCAGAGCUCAAAUAUCUCUAGUGCUUACUCGCUGUAUGACCUGCAGCAAGUCAAUUUUGCAGUGCUUCAGUUUCCACAUCUGUACAAUGAGGAUAGUACCACCUAUUUCAUAGGGUUUGGGGGCUGGCCAUGGUGGCUCAUGCCUGUAAUCCCAGCACUUUGGGAGGCCGAGACAGGAGGAUUGCUUGAGCCUAGGAGUUCAAGACCAGACUGGGCAACAUAGGGAAACCCUGUCUCUAUAAAAAAUGGAAAAAAUUAGCUGGGUGUUUUGGUUAGGGAGGCUGAGGUGGGAGGAACUCUUGAGCCAGGGAGGUCAAGGCUGCAGUUAGCUAUGACUGCACCACUGCACUCCAGCCUGGGUGACAGAGAGCAACCCUGUUUCAAAAAAAAAAAAAAAAAAAAAAAAAGGAUUUGGGGGAGAAGUAAGAGACGAUACAGGCAAAGCUCUCAGAAUAGUGACUUGCAUAUAGUAAGUGCUCAAUAAAGGUUGCCAAUUUUUACUGGUUGAAAGCAUAGGCUCUGAUUUGCCUGAGUUUGAAUCCUGGCUCUAACAUUUAUUAACUGUGUGAUUUUGUGCGUAUUUUAUCUUGCUGCUGUCAUCAUUACAAGAGAGGUAAUAAGCUUUCUUUAGAGAAUUCUUACGAAGAUUGAGAUAAGAUAUGUAAAACCUAGUUCUAUUUCCAGCAGUCAGUAACAGCUCUAAAAGUGUGACUUGCUAUUCUUAUUCUCCACAUGAUUAUUCUCGUUUACCCUUGCAGAAAGUUUGAGCUAUUCCACCUUAUAUUUGCAACUACACAUGCAAAUAUGCUAGAAAGGAAGCAAUUUUUUUUUUUUUUUGAGACACAGUCUCGCUCUGUCGUCCAGGCUGGAGUGCAGUGGUGCAGUGGCCCGAUCUCGGCUCACUGCAAGCUCCGCCUCCCACGUUCACGCCAUUCUCCCGCCU
rnacentral:lncRNA from 10 species